rnacentral:rRNA from 1 species
CAGUCGCCGCGGUAAUACGUAGGGUGCAAGCGUUAAUCGGAAUUACUGGGCGUAAAGCGUGCGCAGGCGGUCCGCUAAGACAGAUGUGAAAUCCCCGGGCUUAACCUGGGAACUGCAUUUGUGACUGGCGGGCUAGAGUAUGGCAGAGGGGGGUAGAAUUCCACGUGUAGCAGUGAAAUGCGUAGAGAUGUGGAGGAAUACCGAUGGCGAAGACAGCCCCCUGGGCCAAUACUGACGCUCAUGCACGAAAGCGUGGGGAGCAAACAGGAUUAGAUACCCGCGUAGUCCCUGUCUCUUAUAC